GAUGAACGCUGGCGGCGUGCUUAACACAUGCAAGUCGAACGGAAAGGCUCCUGCUUGCAGGGGUACUCGAGUGGCGAACGGGUGAGUAACACGUGGGUGAUCUGCCCUGCACUUCGGGAUAAGCCUGGGAAACUGGGUCUAAUACCGGAUAGGACGAUGGUUUGGAUGCCAUUGUGGAAAGUUUUUUCGGUGUGGGAUGAGCUCGCGGCCUAUCAGCUUGUUGGUGGGGUAAUGGCCUACCAAGGCGUCGACGGGUAGCCGGCCUGAGAGGGUGUACGGCCCAUUGGGGACGAAGGUCCGGCCCGGACCCCUAGGGGGGGCGGCGGGGGGGAAUAUGCCACAAGGGGGGCAAGCCUGAUGCGGCGACGCCGGGUGGGGGGUGCCGCCCUUCGGGUUGUAAACUCCUUUCGCUAGGGACGAAGCGAAAGUGGCGGUACCUGGAGAAGAAGCCCCGGCUACCUACGU
rnacentral:rRNA from 1 species